rnacentral:lncRNA from 1 species
AACAAGUCAUACAAUCAGAUCAAGAUGUCCACGUGUAUGGAUAGGGUGGAUGGGGAAUGGUGAAUGAAAUGGAAACUCCUUUUUCUAUGAUCUCUCCCCCUUUGUAAUUUAUUUUGAGACAUGGAUAUCUUUCUCUCUUUUUUUCUUUUUUUCUUGGACCUUCACUUGUCCAACUUUUUUUGUUUCAGUACUUGGACCUUCAUGUGUCCAUAUUUUUUUUCGAUAGCCCAUGUCUCUUUUGUAACAAUAGCUAGAGAGAGAGACCAACACAUAUACUGGAGCAUUUAUUUUGUCUCAUAGAAGCAUAGCAAGGGGGUUUAUGGUAUGCACAUGAAUCUUGAUUGUGAAAGCAUGAA